rnacentral:rRNA from 1 species
AGAGUUUGAUCAUGGCUCAGAUUGAACGCUGGCGGCAGGCUUAACACAUGCAAGUCGAGCGGAGAGAGGUAGCUUGCUACUGAUCUUAGCGGCGGACGGGUGAGUAAUGCUUAGGAAUCUGCCUAUUAGUGGGGGACAACAUUCCGAAAGGAAUGCUAAUACCGCAUACGCCCUACGGGGGAAAGCAGGGGAUCAUUAGACCUUGCGCUAAUAGAUGAGCCUAAGUCGGAUUAGCUAGUUGGUGGGGUAAAGGCCUACCAAGGCGACGAUCUGUAGCGGGUCUGAGAGGAUGAUCCGCCACACUGGGACUGAGACACGGCCCAGACUCCUACGGGAGGCAGCAGUGGGGAAUAUUGGACAAUGGGGGGAACCCUGAUCCAGCCAUGCCGCGUGUGUGAAGAAGGCCUUUUGGUUGUAAAGCACUUUAAGCGAGGAGGAGGCUACUCUGGUUAAUACCUGGAGAUAGUGGACGUUACUCGCAGAAUAAGCACCGGCUAACUCUGUGCCAGCAGCCGCGGUAAUACAGAGGGUGCGAGCGUUAAUCGGAUUUACUGGGCGUAAAGCGUACGUAGGCGGCUUUUUAAGUCGGAUGUGAAAUCCCUGAGCUUAACUUAGGAAUUGCAUUCGAUACUGGGAAGCUAGAGUAUGGGAGAGGAUGGUAGAAUUCCAGGUGUAGCGGUGAAAUGCGUAGAGAUCUGGAGGAAUACCGAUGGCGAAGGCAGCCAUCUGGCCUAAUACUGACGCUGAGGUACGAAAGCAUGGGGAGCAAACAGGAUUAGAUACCCUGGUAGUCCAUGCCGUAAACGAUGUCUACUAGCCGUUGGGGCCUUUGAGGCUUUAGUGGCGCAGCUAACGCGAUAAGUAGACCGCCUGGGGAGUACGGUCGCAAGACUAAAACUCAAAUGAAUUGACGGGGGCCCGCACAAGCGGUGGAGCAUGUGGUUUAAUUCGAUGCAACGCGAAGAACCUUACCUGGUCUUGACAUAGUAAGAACUUUCCAGAGAUGGAUUGGUGCCUUCGGGAACUUACAUACAGGUGCUGCAUGGCUGUCGUCAGCUCGUGUCGUGAGAUGUUGGGUUAAGUCCCGCAACGAGCGCAACCCUUUUCCUUAUUUGCCAGCACUUCGGGUGGGAACUUUAAGGAUACUGCCAGUGACAAACUGGAGGAAGGCGGGGACGACGUCAAGUCAUCAUGGCCCUUACGACCAGGGCUACACACGUGCUACAAUGGUCGGUACAAAGGGUUGCUACCUAGCGAUAGGAUGCUAAUCUCAAAAAGCCGAUCGUAGUCCGGAUUGGAGUCUGCAACUCGACUCCAUGAAGUCGGAAUCGCUAGUAAUCGCGGAUCAGAAUGCCGCGGUGAAUACGUUCCCGGGCCUUGUACACACCGCCCGUCACACCAUGGGAGUUUGUUGCACCAGAAGUAGGUAGUCUAACCGUAAGGAGGACGCUUACCACGGUGUGGCCGACGACUGGGGUGAAGUCGUAACAAGGUAGCCGUAGGGGAACCUGCGGCUGGAUCACCU